rnacentral:tRNA from 1 species
AUAGGAGUUGAACCUAUAACUAAGAGAUCAAAACCCUCCGUAAUCCCAUUUUACUACUCCCU